ensembl:lncRNA
CCCCCCCCCACUAAAGGGGGUACCCACCCUAAAGGGGACAUCUCACCCUAAAAGAGGGGUCCCCCCCCCCAAAAGGGAGCCUUCCCAAAUUGAGGGGUGCCCCCCCCCGGAAAUAAAAGGGAUGCUGCCCCCCAAAAUGAGGGGUGACCCUCCCCAAAAUGAGGGGUGUGACCCCCAAAAUGAGGGGGGUGUGACCCCCCCAAAUGAAGGGGUGACCCUACCCAAAAUGAGGGGGGUGACCCCCCCCAAAUGAAGGGGUGAUCCUACCCAAAAUGAGGGGUGUGACCCCCAAAGUGAGGGGGUGACCCCCCCAAAUGAAGGGGUGGAUCCCCAAAAUGAAGCGCCGCUCCCCCCCCCCCCCAAAAAUAAAAAGGAAAAGGGGGCCGAGCCCCAAAACAGGGCGUUCAGUGCCCCAAAAAAGGGGAGGGGGGGGGUGCAUAAAGGAGAAGGGGCGGACCCCCCCCCAUGAGAAAAUAAAGGUGGGGUG